ACACACGAUAGGUCGAAGAGUGGUGCAUGGCCGUUAACGACGAGUGGAGUGAUCUUUGGGGUAAGUCCGUAAAUUAGUGAGACCUCAGCCGUAAGGGACAGGUGCGCAAAGCACAGGAAGGAUGGGUCAAGGACAGGUCAGUGAUGCCCUUAGAUGGUCCGGGCUGCACGCGCACUACAGUGGUCGCCGAAAUUACCUGAUAAUUUUAAAGGCGAUCGAGAGGGAAUGAGCUUUGUAAGAGGCUCAGGAACGAGGAAUUGCUAGUAAUCGCGGACUCAUUAAGACGCGAUGAAUACGUCCCUGUUCUUUGUACACACCGCCCGUCGUUAUCGAAGAUGAAGACAGGCGCGAACGAUCUACCAGAAAGUGAGCGCAGGUCUUUAGAUCUGAUACAAGUCGUAACAAGGUAGCUGUAGGAGAUCCUGUAGCUGG
rnacentral:rRNA from 1 species